rnacentral:rRNA from 1 species
CGUAGGUGGCGAGCGUUGUCCGGAAUUAUUGGGCGUAAAGGGCGCGUAGGCGGUUUUUUAAGUCAGGUGUGAAACGCCCCCGGCUCAACUGGGGAGUGUCAUCUGAUACUGGGAAACUCGAGUGCAGGAGAGGAAAGUGGAAUUCCAUGUGUAGCGGUGAAAUGCGUAGAUAUAUGGAGGAACACCAGUGGCGAAGGCGGCUUUCUGGACUGCAACUGACGCUGAGGCGCGAAAGCUGGGGGAGCGAACGGGAUUAGAUACCCCGGUAGUCCCAGCCGUGAACGAUGGAUGCUAGGUGUGGGGGGUAUCGACCCCUUCCGUGCCGCAGUUAACACAAUAAGCAUCCCGCCUGGGGAGUACGGCCGCAAGGUUG